rnacentral:ribozyme from 1 species
UGUUUUUUUUUUUUUUUUUUUUGUUUUUUUUUU